UACGUAGGGACCAAGCGUUGUUCGGAUUUACUGGGCGUAAAGGGCGCGUAGGCGGCGAAUCAAGUCAGCUGUGAAAUCUCCGAGCUUAACUCGGAACGGUCAGCUGAUACUGUUUUGCUAGAGUGCAGAAAGGGCAACUGGAAUUCUUGGUGUAGCGGUGAAAUGCGUAGAUAUCAAGUGGAACACCAGUGGCGAAGGCGAGUCCCUGGACAACUCCUGACACUGAGGCACGAAAGCUAGGGGAGCAAACAGG
rnacentral:rRNA from 1 species